rnacentral:snRNA from 1 species
UCAUCUCGAAUUAAUCUUUCGCCUUUUACUAAAGAUUACCGUGG